GUCGAGCUAUGCUUAUGUUAGCCCUAUUUUGCUCGUGACCUGAGAUCUGAGUAUUUGAAUCAUACAACAAAAGAGUAUAUAUUAGCUGCUUGUUACCUCAAAAAAGAGUAUAUCUUAGUUGUUGUCCAGCUAUGCUUAUGUUAGUUCUAUAUCUACUCGUGACCUGAGAUCUGAGAAUUAGAAUCAUACAACAAAAGAUUAUAUAUUAUCUGCUCGUUACCUCUUUUUGAGUAUAUAUUAGUUGCUGUCGAGCUAUGCUUAUGUUAGUUUUAUUUCUGCUCGUGAUCUGAGAUCUGAGAAUUUGAAUCAGAAUCAUACAACAACAUUGAAAUAAGAAAUUUGUUUGAAAUCAUGUAUUUUUCAGGGCCCUCUGACCAACAAUUGGUGAUGAUCAGCCACAAGUUUACUAAACUACUGACAUGACACUUAUCGGGGAUGGAUCUACCUUGAGCAACAGAAGAAAAAGGGGGGAAGUUUUCUCUAUAUACCAUACCAUGCCAGCCAGUAUUUGAAGAGACAAGAUUUUCACUUUCGAUCUCUUAUCAACCUUCUCUGUCUCUAUCAACUUAGUUGGUCCAAUGCUAAGCUGGAAGAUGAGUAAUUGUUUCUCCUUGUCAAGUAUAUAAACAAAGUGAGAUCAGAAAUUCAAGAAUACAAUCACACCGCUAGUAGAUAUUGUUCUU